rnacentral:rRNA from 1 species
UACAGAGACUGCAAGCGUUAUUCGGAUUCACUGGGCGUAAAGGGUGCGCAGGCGGUCGGGUGUGUCAGAUGUGAAAUCCUGGGGCUCAACCCUGGAACUGCAUUGGAUACUUCCUUGCUAGAGUACUGGAGAGGAAACUGGAAUUUACGGUGUAGCAGUGAAAUGCGUAGAGAUCGUAAGGAAGACCAGUGGCGAAGGCGAGUUUCUGGACAGUUACUGACGCUGAGGCACGAAGGCCAGGGGAGCAAACGGG